GCUUCUCGCUGGAGUGCGCACCGAGCGGCAGUGACUUCGCCGCUGCUGUAGUUCCCCGGCUGGAUGCGGUGACUGGUGCCAGUGCUCAGGCGCCCGCUGCCCUUGACCUCCCGCCCCGCGAGCCCUAACUCAGCGCAGGAGGACCGGCUGCCGCCGCCGCCGCCGCCAGGAGGUAGAUUGGGAAGUGGAGCUGGCCGUGGUCAUUGGAAAGAAAGGCAAGCACAUCAAGGCCACAGAUGCCAUGGCCCACGUGGCCGGCUUCACUGUGGCUCAUGACGUGAGUGCUCGUGACUGGCUAACAAGAUGCAAUGGGAAACAGUGGCUGCUGGGAAAAACCUUCGACACCUUCUGCCCUCUGGGCCCUGCCUUGGUGACCAAGGACAGUGUAGCAGAUCCACACAACUUAAAGAUCUGCUGUCGAGUGAAUGGGGAAGUGGUCCAGAGCAGCAACACCAACCAGAUGGUAUUCAAGACAGAGGACCUGAUAGCCUGGGUGUCCCAGUUUGUUACCUUUUACCCAGGGGAUGUCAUCCUGACUGGGACCCCCCCACCUCCACCCAGGUGUCGGUGUAUUCAGGAAACCUCCUGUCUUUCUCAAGGUCUCUGAAGGUCCAGACAGCACUGAUGGCGAGCUUUGGGUCCGCACACUCUGGAAAGAAGAGAGAAGUGAAGGCUCUAGGUAGGGAGAACAGAGAGCCACUGGGCACAGGCUUCUCUCCUCUUGUUUAAAGAAGCCCAGGGAGGGAUAGAGCUCUGACUGGACAGAAGACUGUACUCUGCAGCCUGCCUUCCUAGAGUUGGGUUGUCACUGUCCUGCAGGGGGCAGCAGCCACCAGCAAACACCACUGCCUGCAGGAGCCUGGGCUGACUGGUUGGGACUCACCGAAGAUCCCUUCUUCCUGGGCGGUGGCCUGCAGGAACUGGAACAGCUGCUCUGUGUAGCCCAACUCUGCAGAAGAGAGAAGACCUAGACCUGGCACCCAGCACAGACACAGCCUGCCUCGAGGACUGCAAGGGAACAAGGGCCUCACCAGUAUCGGGCAGCUGGCCCUGGCGGAGGAAGGCGGCAGCCUGUGCAAAGGCCUUGAGCAGCGGGCUGAGCAGGCGGCAGAGGAAAAGAAAGAAAUCUGGGCAGUGUGACUGCUGGCUGAGCUGGAGGGGACAGGCCGGGGUGAGUGCAGCUCCCCACCGCCUCCCUACCACCUCCCUCCAGGGGCAGCUUUUUGAAACACACCCUGAAGUACCGGCCGUCAGCCUCUCCGAAGUCAUCACUGUCACUAUCAGUAAAGUCCCCACUCGGUUUCCACAGCA
rnacentral:lncRNA from 1 species